CAUUCUUCAGGUGACUGUACCACA
rnacentral:siRNA from 1 species